CCAGCCUGCCUUUUUCAACAGAGAGGUAGAAAUCCCUGUCCAAGUUACACACAUGGAGCUGAAAGAAAAUAGCAGUGCUCUUUCUGGGGCAGAUGGAUUCUAUAAUUCUUCAUUUCAGAAUGACUCUGAAGAUGAGGUUAUAAAUGAGGAGGGGUUAAGAAGCAGGAAUUCACAAAAUAGGGAUGCUGUGCAUAGUAACCCGGAGGAUACACACAUCAAUAUCGAGAGUGAUCAGCAUAAAAACAAACAAGAUUCAGUAGCUGAGAGAACAUUCUUAAAAGGGUAUCUGGAAAGGAAAUAUGAGGAAGUCUGUGACUUUUGCAAGAAAUACAAAACCAGAAUUCGAUAUGUGAUAUAUGGAAUUUUAAUAGCAGCUUACCUGAUGAUAGUCAUCACAGCAUGUGUCCUGAAUUUUCAAAGAGCCCUGGCGCUUUUUGUACUCACUGUUCUAGCCAUCUUCUUCAUCUGCUGGGAUUUUUUAAUAGCCAGAUAUGAAGACAAAAUUGCUGAGUUCUUUUCCCCUUGUGAAAGGUUUCUGAAACAACAGUGGUUUUGGCUAAAAUGGGUGGUGUGGAUAGCUCUAAUUGCAGCUAUCAUUUGCUGGCUCAUCUUUGACACUGCCAAACAGGGAACCAAUCAGCUCAUCUCCUUUGGUGGGCUUGUGAUGUAUGUUCUCUUGAUGUUGAUCUUUUCCAAAUACCCAACCAAAGUUGCCUGGAGACCAGUAUUUUGGGGAAUUGGAAUGCAGUUUAUUCUUGGACUUGUUACUCUGAGAACUAAAGCAGGAUUUGAUGUAUUUAAUUGGCUGGGUAGACAGAUACAGAUUUUCCUGGAAUACUCUGAUGUUGGUGCUAAAUUUGUGUUUGGUGAAAAAUAUACAGAUCAUUUAUUUGCCUUUAAGGUCCUGCCAAUAGUGGUUUUCUUCAGCACAGUCAUGUCUAUGCUUUACCAUGUUGGAUUCAUGCAAUGGCUCAUUAAAAAGGUUGGUUGGAUAAUGCAGGUUACCUUGGGGACAACUCCUGUUGAGUCCCUAGUAGCAGCUGGCAACAUAUUUGUGGGACAGACAGAAUCUCCUCUUCUAGUGAGGCCCUAUUUACCGUAUGUCACCAAGUCUGAACUCCACUCGAUCAUGACUUCAGGGUUCUCAACCAUCGCUGGCAGUGUCUUAGGAGCAUACAUUUCUUUUGGGGUUUCAGCCUCCCAUUUACUAACUGCUUCUGUGAUGUCAGCACCAGCAUCACUGGCUAUCUCCAAACUAUUCUGGCCUGAGACUAAAAUACCCCAAGUAACUCUGAAGAGUGAUAUAAAAAUGGAGAAAGGAGACUCAAAAAACCUGCUGGAAGCUGCUAGUCAGGGUGCCUCUGCCUCCAUCCCACUGGUGGCGAACAUUGCUGUGAACCUGAUCGCCUUCCUUGCUUUGCUCGCUUUCAUUGAUUCAGCACUGUCUUGGUUGGGGAAUAUGUUUAACUACCCACAGCUGAACUUCGAGAUCAUUUGCGCUUAUGUCUUCAUGCCAUUUUCUUUUAUGAUGGGGGUAGACUGGGAAGAUAGUUUUAUUGUCGGUGGACUCCUAGGUUACAAGACUUUCUUCAAUGAAUUUGUGGCUUAUGAGCGUCUUUCAAUGUUGAUCCACUUGCGGGAGAAAGGUGGGCCCAUGUACAUUGGUGGCGUGAAGCAAUAUAUGACCUUACUGAAGUUCAUCCUUCUCCAGACCCGGCUAUGUUCUUGCAGCCAUGGCAUCCUGGACUGUGAAGCAUGUCAGAUGUCACAAGCCAGACAAGGUCAGGCCUGGUCACUUCUAGGAUUAAAGAACUCCAAGGAAAUCCCAGUGUGCCACAGGAAGUGGUGUUAGAGACUAAGGUCUUGUCCCUAUUGGGAAUUUGUCCUGACUCUAGUACUGAAUGGCCAGGCACAAAUGUAGUUACACUAGUUGGAAGCCCAAGCUCAUGGUUUGCACCAGUAGGGCCUGGCUUGGUUUCGAUUGGUGGAAUCAGGGCAAAUUGCCAAGGUAGACAAGACCUAGUUAGGUGGCAUUCUUCUUUCUGAGUGGAGCUGGUCAAAUGAAUUUAGACAAAACUUUUUCCCAUCAAAAUUUUCCCAAUAGAAUUUCUGGUCAAAAUGAGAGAGAGAGAGCCCCAUGCACCUCAGAAUAGCCUGAUGAUUAGGGCAUUCACUGGGGAUGUGGGAGACCCAGGUUCAGAACCUGCUCUGAAUCAGGCAGGGCUCUCUCAUGUGUUUUUAUGAAAAAUGUCAAAAGUCUCAUUUUUGUCCUGCAUGGGAACAAAACCAUAUGUCAAAACCUCAAAAUGUUUUCAACAAAACAGAAUCCUUGUUUUCUGGCCAUCCAUCCUUAUGAGCCAGUAUUGAAUCUGUGACCCAGUGUUGUGUGAUACUGCAGGUGCCCUCUCUUCAAUUAACAUUUAAAAUUGAUAUCUUAACCACUUAUGGUCAUUAAAGAUCCCAUGGAAUAUUUUCCAACAGCAGAGUUAUUAACCAAUUGUACACUAACAAAGAGCAGUAUGUGGCUCUAAAUCUCUGAGUGAACCUGAACUUUGAAAGAUGGAUGCUGUUGGCUACCUGCUCACAUCUCACUUUAUUAUUAUGCUCUGUGGCACAGAAGAGCUACUUUCACUGUUAUUGGUUCAUACAGGCAGUCAAACUAACUCUCCUUGGUAAAGAGCUUGAGAUCCUCACGUGAGAAAAUAAUAAUCAUGCACAGCACUCAUAAGAAUUUGCAUCCAUAGGUUUCAAAGCACUUUGCAAAGUAUCAUUUUCCCCCUCACUGAAAGUAGAUUUGAAUAAAAUAAAUAUCACGCAUUUUACAGAUGUAGAAACAUGGGAGGCUCAGAGGUUAAGAGAUUUUCCCAAGGUCAUGGAGGGAGGGAAUGGCAGAGCCAGGAAUUAGUGAUGCAACCACAUACAAAGGUUGGAGAGAAGUGGGGAAUCAAGGAUGGGAUUGCAUUAGUCUUGCAUCUGCAUUGAGAGGGACAUGUCCCCUUCAUCCUCCUGAACCUAUGCUGUGGUGCAAAGGAUUAUUAUCAUUACUGCAGGGGUUGGAAAUUGCCAGUAGCAAUUUUAAGUGUGACCUGAUGGCUUGGACAUGAGGGUGUUUGGGUUUUCAGAUUUAACUUCUAUUCAACCUCAGACCCCUCCAAUAUAUCUAUGUGCUCAGAGAGAGAGAGAGAGAGAGAGAGAGCACUCUGAUGCAUCCACCCCCACAGCCCAUAACAACAAGGCUUCCUGUUUUUCAAAGCUAGGAGAGUACAAGUGAAGGCAGGGAAAUCACAGGAAACAAAGCCGUUUCUAGGGAAAGCAGAUAGAGUGAGUACUUGACAAGCAUUCUCUUGCAUAUGUGCCACAUGACUGCAAAUACCUACAAAUUGGUUCUCAGAAAACAGGAGCAGGAACAAAGGAGCUUCUAAUCAACAGGAAACCUAUGAGAGCUCUCCUCAGACUUCAGUGUGGGCUUAAAAUGCAAUUAAUGGGGAAGGGAUGCAGGGAGCAAAGCUUUCCAUUUCCAUGUUCCCUGCUUUCCCAUACCUUUCAACUAGGUUGGCUUCUUCAAGGACUGUAGCCUAGUUUCACCCUCAGGAAGCUAUCAUAUACCCUGCAAGUGGCUCUUGUCAGUGGAAAGUCCAUUGAGGAAAGAGGUGAGCAUCUGGAAAUGGAAAGCAAUACAAACUUCUCUUUGCUCUGAGGCCCACAGAGAGCAAGUGUUGCCCCAAAAGAAGAUGACACUGGCCAGGGAGUAGGUAUGGACAAGGGCAGCCAGGGGAGGCACUGAUCCCGACUCUGCCCCUGGGGUUCCUGGGGAGCCCCAAUAACAAUUUAAAUGUGCUCCUUUUCCCUGAAGGAAGCAUUCAGCAAGUACCACCACCUGUCGUACCUCAGACUGAAUGCCUCCUAAACUGCAGCAUUUCCAGCUAGUGCAGGGGCCCUAAACCAGUUUGGACAAUUAAACCCUCUGGGAUUUUCAAUCCCAAUCCAGACAACCCUUUUAAUCAUCUGAAUUUGAGCUGGGAUGCAUAAAGAAGGAAACCUCAAGAGAAGUAGAGAGGUUAUUUUACCUCAGCACAUCCUAUCCACAAUGACUUCAAGAUCCCUUUCUUAAAUGGUAACAGCUAAUUUGACCCCAUCAUUUUGUAUGUAUAGUUGGGAUUAUGUUUUCCAAUUUGCAUUACUUUGCAUUUAACACUGAAUGUCAUCUGCCAUUUUGUUGCCCAGUCACCCAGUUUAGUGAGAUCCCUUUGUAACUCUUCACUUUGGACUUAACUAUCUUGAGUAAUUUUGUAUCAUCUGCAAACUUUCAAACAAUUGAAUAAUUUAUUUUCUGUCUGAGGUGUGUGUUUGUUUAUUUUUAGAUCCAUUCUGAAACCAUUGCCACCUAUGCCCUCUGUGGAUUUGCAAAUUUUGGUUCUCUGGGAAUGGUGAUAGGAGGACUCACAUCUAUGGCUCCUUCCA